rnacentral:rRNA from 1 species
GCGAGUCUGAAUAGGGCGAAUGAGUAUUUGGUCGUAGACCCGAAACCAGGUGAUCUACCCUUGGUCAGGUUGAAGUUCAGGUAACACUGAAUGGAGGACCGAACCGACUUACGUUGAAAAGUGAGCGGAUGAACUGAGGGUAGCGGAGAAAUUCCAAUCGAACUUGGAGAUAGCUGGUUCUCUCCGAAAUAGCUUUAGGGCUAGCCUCAAGUGAUGAUUAUUGGAGGUAGAGCACUGUUUGGACGAGGGGCCCCUCUCGGGUUACCGAAUUCAGACAAACUCCGAAUGCCAAAUAAUUUAACUUGGGAGUCAGAAUGUGGGUGAUAAGGUCCAUAUUCGAAAGGGAAACAGCCCAGACCACCAGCUAAGGUCCCAAAAUAUAUGUUAAGUGGAAAAGGAUGUGGCGUUGCCCAGACAACUAGGAUGUUGGCUUAGAAGCAGCCAUCAUUUAAAGAGUGCGUAAUAGCUCACUAGUCGAGUGACACUGCGCCGAAAAUGUACCGGGGCUAAACAUAUUACCGAAGCUGUGGAUUGUCCUUUGGACAAUGGUAGGAGAGCGUUCUAAGGGCGUUGAAGCAUGAUCGCAAGGACAUGUGGAGCGCUUAGAAGUGAGAAUGCCGGUGUGAGUAGCGAAAGACGGGUGAGAAUCCCGUCCACCGAUUGACUAAGGUUUCCAGAGGAAGGCUCGUCCGCUCUGGGUUAGUCGGGUCCUAAGCUGAGGCCGACAGGCGUAGGCGAUGGAUAACAGGUUGAUAUUCCUGUACCACCAUUAUUCGUUUUAAGCGAUGGGGGGACGCAGUAGGAUAGGCGAAGCGUGCUGUUGGAGUGCACGUCCAAGCAGUGAGAUUGAGUGUUAGGCAAAUCCGGCACUCUUAAGAUUGAGCUGUGAUGGGGAGAGGAACUUGUUCCUCGAGUCGUUGAUUUCACACUGCCGAGAAAAGCCUCUAGCUAGAAUAACGGUGCCCGUACCGCAAACCGACACAGGUAGUCAAGAUGAGAAUUCUAAGGUGAGCGAGCGAACUCUCGUUAAGGAACUCGGCAAAAUGACCCCGUAACUUCGGGAGAAGGGGUGCUCUUUGAGGUUCACGCUUCGAAGAGCCGCAGUGAAUAGGCCCAAGCGACUGUUUAUCAAAAACACAGGUCUCUGCUAAACCGUAAGGUGACGUAUAGGGGCUGACGCCUGCCCGGUGCUGGAAGGUUAAGAGGAGUGGUU